CAUGGUUUCAUGAUUUAUGCAUAGAGUACAACUGGAGGCUUUGGAGGAUGCAGAUGAUCAGAGUUUAGCUGUCCAGGGUGUGCUUGUCAAACAGGUACUCCGCCAUCCUGUUGUUUCCAGCAUCCAUCUUGGAGAGGUUAGUGAUGUGGUCACCAAGCUUCUUGAUGGCCUCAACCUGCUCAUUCAGGUAGUGAGACUCCAGG